AUAUGAAUUGCCUGGGGUUCUUACAAAAUGAUGAUUUUGAUUCUGCAUGUCUUGGAUGGGACCCAAGAGUCUGCAUUUCUAAAAAGCUCCCAGGUGGUGCCCGU
rnacentral:pre_miRNA from 1 species